CUAAUACAUGCAAGUCGAGCGAACUGAUUAGAAGCUUGCUUCUAUGACGUUAGCGGCGGACGGGUGAGUAACACGUGGGCAACCUGCCUGUAAGACUGGGAUAACUUCGGGAAACCGAAGCUAAUACCGGAUAGGAUCUUCUCCUUCAUGGGAGAUGAUUGAAAGAUGGUUUCGGCUAUCACUUACAGAUGGGCCCGCGGUGCAUUAGCUAGUUGGUGAGGUAACGGCUCACCAAGGCAACGAUGCAUAGCCGACCUGAGAGGGUGAUCGGCCACACUGGGACUGAGACACGGCCCAGACUCCUACGGGAGGCAGCAGUAGGGAAUCUUCCGCAAUGGACGAAAGUCUGACGGAGCAACGCCGCGUGAGUGAUGAAGGCUUUCGGGUCGUAAAACUUCUGUU
rnacentral:rRNA from 2 species